rnacentral:pre_miRNA from 1 species
AGUGGGAUAGCUGGGUCAAGUGGUGGUUUCAUGUCAAGUUUUCCAAGGAAUUUCCAUACUGUUUUCCAGAGUGGUUGCACCAAUUUGCAAUCCCACAAGCAAU